rnacentral:rRNA from 1 species
UACGGAGGGGACUAGCGUUGUUCGGAAUUACUGGGCGUAAAGCGCACGUAGGCGGCUUUGUAAGUCAGGGGUGAAAUCCCGAGGCUCAACCUCGGAACUGCCUUUGAUACUGCAAAUCUCGAGUCCGGAAGAGGUGAGUGGAAUUCCUAGUGUAGAGGUGAAAUUCGUAGAUAUUAGGAAGAACACCAGUGGCGAAGGCGGCUCACUGGUCCGGUACUGACGCUGAAGCGCGACAGCGUGGGGAGCGAACGGG